rnacentral:rRNA from 1 species
UUGUAGUUGGAUUUUUGUUAAUAAUUUAUAUAAAAUAUUUUGAUGAAUAUUUAUAUAAUAUUAACAUAAUUCAUAUUACUAUUUUUUUUUUUAGUAUAUGAAAUUUUACUUUGAGAAAAUUAGAGUGCUUAAAGCAGGCAUAUGCCUUGAAUACUCCAGCAUGGAAUAAUAUUAAAGAUUUUUAUCUUUUUUAUUGGUUCUAAGAUAAGAAUAAUGAUUAAUAGGGACAGUUGGGGGCAUUUGUAUUUAACAGUCAGAGGUGAAAUUCUUAGAUUUGUUAAAGACAAACUAAUGCGAAAGCAUUUGCCAAGGAUGUUUUCAUUAAUCAAGAAC